rnacentral:rRNA from 1 species
UACGGAGGGUGCAAGCGUUAUCCGGAAUUAUUGGGCGUAAAGCGUCCGCAGGUGGUUUUACAAGUCUGCUGUCAAAGCGUGGAGCUUAACUCCAUAAAGGCAGUGGAAACUGUGAGACUAGAGUUCGGUAGGGGUUACGGGAAUUCCCAGUGUAGCGGUGAAAUGCGUAGAUAUUGGGAAGAACACCAGCGGCGAAAGCGCGUAACUGGGCCUGAACUGACACUGAGGGACGAAAGCUAGGGGAGCGAAAGGG